GCCUCAAUGGCUCAGUGGUAGAGCGUGUCACUAGUAAUGACAAGGUCCACGGUUCGAUCCCGUGUUGAGGCAC
rnacentral:tRNA from 1 species